AAAAAAGGUAAGCUACUAAGAGCGAAUGGUGGAUGCCUUGACUGGUAAAGGCGAUGAAGGACGUACUAGACUGCGAUAAGCUACGGGGAGCUGUCAAGAAGCUUUGAUCCGUAGAUUUCCGAAUGGGGCAACCCAAUGUAUAGAGAUAUACAUUACCUAUAUAGGAGCGAACGAGGGGAAUUGAAACAUCUUAGUACCCUCAGGAAAAGAAAUCAAUAGAGAUUGCGUCAGUAGCGGCGAGCGAAAGCGCAAGAGGGCAAACCCAGUGCUUGCACUGGGGGUUGUAGGACUGCAAUGUGCAAGAGGUGAGUUUAGCAGAACAUUCUGGAAAGUAUAGCCAUAGAGGGUGAUAGUCCCGUAUGCGAAAAACAAACCUUAGCUAGCAGUAUCCUGAGUAGGGCGGGACACGAGAAAUCCUGUCUGAAGCUGGGUCGACCACGAUCCAACCCUAAAUACUAAUACCAGAUCGAUAGUGCACAAGUACCGUGAGGGAAAGGUGAAAAGAACUGAGGUGAUCAGAGUGAAAUAGAACCUGAAACCAUUUGCUUACAAUCAUUCAGAGCCCUAUGUAGCAAUACAGGGUGAUGGACUGCCUUUUGCAUAAUGAGCCUGCGAGUUGUGGUGUCUGGCAAGGUUAAGCAAACGCGAAGCCGUAGCGAAAGCGAGUCUGAAUAGGGCGCUUAGUCAGAUGCUGCAGACCCGAAACGAAGUGAUCUAUCCAUGAGCAAGUUGAAGCUAGUGUAAGAACUAGUGGAGGACUGAACCCAUAGGCGUUGAAAAGCCCCGGGAUGACUUGUGGAUAGGGGUGAAAGGCCAAUCAAACUUCGUGAUAGCUGGUUCUCUCCGAAAUAUAUUUAGGUAUAGCGUUGUGUCGUAAUAUAAGGGGGUAGAGCACUGAAUGGGCUAGGGCAUACACCAAUGUACCAAACCCUAUCAAACUCCGAAUACCUUAUAUGUAAUCACAGCAGUCAGGCGGCGAGUGAUAAAAUCCGUCGUCAAGAGGGAAACAACCCAGACUACCAGCUAAGGUCCCUAAAUCUUACUUAAGUGGAAAACGAUGUGAAGUUACUUAAACAACCAGGAGGUUGGCUUAGAAGCAGCCAUCCUUUAAAGAAAGCGUAAUAGCUCACUGGUCUAGUGAUUUUGCGCGGAAAAUAUAACGGGGCUAAAGUAAGUACCGAAGCUGUAGACUUGCGCACAACUUAGAUUAUUUAAGUUUAGAAUAUGAGAAACUAAGUUAUGUUUAGUUAUAUUUUUACUGAUUUUUAUAGAGUAAAGAUAGAAAUAAAACUUAGUAAAAUCAGUAAAAAUAUUCUUAGGCUAAAGUUAAGUAGUUUAAGUUGUGUGCAAGUGGUAGGAGAGCGUUCUAUUUGCGUCGAAGGUAUACCGGUAAGGAGUGCUGGAGCGAAUAGAAGUGAGCAUGCAGGCAUGAGUAGCGAUAAUUAAUGUGAGAAUCAUUAACGCCGUAAACCCAAGGUUUCCUACGCGAUGCUCGUCAUCGUAGGGUUAGUCGGGUCCUAAGUCGAGUCCGAAAGGGGUAGACGAUGGCAAAUUGGUUAAUAUUCCAAUACCAACAUUAGUGUGCGAUGGAAGGACGCUUAGGGCUAAGGGGGCUAGCGGAUGGAAGUGCUAGUCUAAGGUCGUAGGAGGUUAUACAGGCAAAUCCGUAUAACAAUACUCCGAGAACUGAAAGGCUUUUUGAAGUCUUCGGAUGGAUAGAAGAACCCCUGAUGCCGUCGAGCCAAGAAAAGUUUCUAAGUUUAGCUAAUGUUGCCCGUACCGUAAACCGACACAGGUGGGUGGGAUGAGUAUUCUAAGGCGCGUGGAAGAACUCUCUUUAAGGAACUCUGCAAAAUAGCACCGUAUCUUCGGUAUAAGGUGUGGUUCGCUUCGUAUUAGGAUUUACUCCGAAAGCGAAGAAACUUACAACAAAGAGUCCCUCCCGACUGUUUACCAAAAACACAGCACUCUGCUAACUCGUAAGAGGAUGUAUAGGGUGUGACGCCUGCCCGGUGCUCGAAGGUUAAUUGAUGGGGUUAGCAUUAGCGAAGCUCUUGAUCGAAGCCCGAGUAAACGGCGGCCGUAACUAUAACGGUCCUAAGGUAGCGAAAUUCCUUGUCGGUUAAAUACCGACCUGCAUGAAUGGCGUAACGAGAUGGGAGCUGUCUCAAAGAGGGAUCCAGUGAAAUUGUAGUGGAGGUGAAAAUUCCUCCUACCCGCGGCAAGACGGAGAGACCCCGUGGACCUUUACUAUAGC
rnacentral:rRNA from 1 species